UGGGGAAUCUUGCGCAAUGGGCGAAAGCCUGACGCAGCCAUGCCGCGUGAAUGAUGAAGGUCUUAGGAUUGUAAAAUUCUUUCACCGGGGACGAUAAUGACGGUACCCGGAGAAGAAGCCCCGGCUAACUUCGUGCCAGCAGCCGCGGUAAUACGAAGGGGGCUAGCGUUGCUCGGAAUUACUGGGCGUAAAGGGAGCGUAGGCGGACUGUUAAGUUAGAGGGGAAAGCCCAGGGCUCAACCUUGGAAUUGCCUUUGAUACUGGCAGUCUUGAGUACGGAAGAGGUAUGUGGAACUCCGAGUGUAGAGGUGAAAUUCGUAGAUAUUCGGAAGAACACCAGUGGCGAAGGCGACAUACUGGUCCGUUACUGACGCUGAGGCUCGAAAGCGUGGGGAGCAAACA
rnacentral:rRNA from 1 species